UACGUAGGGUGCGAGCGUUAAUCGGAAUUACUGGGCGUAAAGCGUGCGCAGGCGGUUUUGUAAGCCAGAUGUGAAAGCCCCGGGCUUAACCUGGGAAUGGCAUUUGGGACUGCAAGGCUAGAGUGCGGCAGAGGAGACUGGAAUUCCUGGUGUAGCAGUGAAAUGCGUAGAUAUCAGGAGGAAUACCGACGGCGAAGGCAGGUCUCUGGGCUGACACUGACGCUCAUGCACGAAAGCGUGGGGAGCAAACAGG
rnacentral:rRNA from 1 species